UACGUAGGGUGCAAGCGUUGUCCGGAUUUAUUGGGCGUAAAGAGCGUGUAGGCGGCCAGGUAGGUCUGCUGUGAAAACUCGAGGCUCAACCUCGAGAUGUCGGCGGAAACCAUCUGGCUAGAGUCCGGAAGAGGAGAAUGGAAUUCCCGGUGUAGCGGUGAAAUGCGCAGAUAUCGGGAAGAACACCCGUGGCGAAGGCGGUUCUCUGGGACGGUACUGACGCUGAGACGCGAAAGCGUGGGGAGCAAACGGG
rnacentral:rRNA from 1 species